GCUGGGCACGGUGGCGCACACCUGUAAUCCCAGCAGCUCCGGAGGCUGAGGCAGGAGGAUCUUGAGUUCAAAGCCAGCCUCAGGAAUAUAGUGAGGCCCCAAGCAACUCAGUGAGACCCCGUCUCUA
rnacentral:sRNA from 1 species